ensembl:lncRNA
GGGCCCUCGGGGCGUCUCGUGCAGGGUGGUGCGGCGCGAACUUGUUUGCGUUGUGCUCGAGACUGCUGCUGCUGCCGCCGCCGCCGCCGCCGCCGCUGCUGUAGUUGUUGUUGCUGUAGUUAUGCUGGUCAGCUGAAUGUGGGAUUGCAGCUCCAGUGUGACGGGAAGGAGGGGAAGCCCGGCCUCCGACAGAACGCCGAGAGAAGCAGAAGUAGCUACAGCGGAUGAGAGCGCUGCGGGAUGCGGACUGCUGGACUCUACUUCACCGAGUAAAUGACCACAGCAGCGAGGACAGCUGUGUCAGGGGGUGCUGGAGCCUAUCCCAGCGGUCAUCGGGCGGAAGGCAGGAAACAUCCUGGACAGGUCACCAGUCCAUCGCAGGGCAGACAGACAUACACAUACAUUCACCCACACACUCACACCUAUGGGCAAUUUACCAUGUCCACUUGACCUGACGGCAUGUGUUUGGACUGUGGGGUGGAAACCGGAGUAUCCGGAGGAAACUCACACAGACACGGGGAGAACAUGCAGACUUCAUGCAGAAAGGACCCCGGUCACCUGGCUGGGGAAUCGAACCCAGGCCCUACUUGCUGUGAGGCGACAGCGCUACCCACCACACCACCAUGACGCCAUCUUAUUAGAAAUUUAAUAUUAGAAAUUUAAAUGUUAGCAGGUGGUCAGUCUUUUAACCCUACCUAUCUGCUUGAACUAGACACUUGCCAUCUUUUCUUUGCUGCAAUCUCAUUAAGACCUGAGCUGAUGUUAAGUGUUUAUGUUGAUUGAACUGUAGCUGAAAUGCAGCUAAUAUGGUAAUAUGGCAGGUGUGGAAUUAUGUAGAAUUGUGUAACUGCUGUCCUAUAGAUUUUUGUUGAGGUAGGAGAGUGCACAUAAUGUUGCAGUGCAUGUUGGGGACUGUAGUGCAGCACAUUGUGAAACAGGCUAAUAUUAAUAGAUAAUUAAAAUACUUUUGUGGGCCAGAGAGUAUUGUGUUUGCCACAUGGGGAUUAGGUGGAUUGAAUAACAUUGCAGUGGAGAGGAGUGGGUUUUGUUCCAUGUCAGAAAAGUGCUUCUGCACAGCUGUAAGUAAAGUUUGUGUCAUAGUUUUGAUCCCUAAUCCACAUUUCAAGCUUUAUGUCUUGUUGGAGUCCUUUGAUUGGUUGAUUGAGCUGUAGUUGAGUGUUCCCUAAAGCCAGACACACACUGUGCAAUUUUAGAAAUCUAGUUCUUUGGUGACUCACACAGUAUGUUUGAAUAGACCAAGUAUGGACAACGCCUACGAUUUAUAUAACAACACUGUACAAAAACACUUCAUCCAUGCUAUUUGAAAUGCAGCCCCAACACCAAGCUCUGUCUAUAGACAUUUGUUAAAAAGCUGUUUCAUUCAAAACAACACACUGAGUACAGUACUGAGCAAAUAUGCUAAGAAACUGUGCUACAGGAGCUUAGCUAAGUUGUGCCACUCUGUGCAGUGAAUCUAAAACAGGCAGUGAUAAUAGAACGAUACACUCUAUACAGCCUAUUUUACAAAGGCAAUUAAAAAAAAUCAUUGUAACCUUUUAUACUUCACAGAACAAACAGAAUAAAUUAAACAGAAUAAAUUAUGUAUACAUGUAUUAUGUAUACAUACUGGCAAGAAAUAUUGCCUCCAUUUACCUAGCCUACAUAUCCCCAUCCGUAAAGGGUAAUGUUUUUGAUUGUGUAUGUGUUUACAAAUGGUACAAAAUCACACAGUCUGUUCCUGGUGGGAAUAUGCCAAGGUGGAUUGUUUAAAAUGACAAUAAUGCAGCUGCACAAUCUGCUUAGAAUUUAAUUCAGAAAAACAACAAGAAUAAUGUAAUCAGAAAUUGUGAUAAAAAAACAUGUUUGGUCUUUGUUGCUAUUUGCAGUGUGAUUGGUAUGACUGAGUUAGCUUUCUUGGAAAAUUUGUUUUCAAAUUAAUAGAAGAACUGAAAUGUUAACUUGCUUAAGAAGCCUGUUAAUGAAUCUGGAAGCUUUUAACGUGUAGCUUAGAGAAAACUGAAUGGUAUGGUAGUUGUAGAGAAGGGAAAUGAAAGCUACACAUGAAAAUGUAAAUGUGCACUGUGAACGUCUUUUUGUGUCUCACAUGUUAAUGUACUGAUGUAUCAGAGGGCAUUUCCUGAAGGCUCAACUUCAAGGUUAGAUUCAGAAAUUAGGAGUGAGCAUAGUGUAACUGUUGGUUAUGUGUAAUUUUAAGCAAUAAAACGGUACAUGCUAGACACACU